GGUUAAGCGAAUAAGCGUACACGGUGGAUGCCUAGGCAAUCAGAGGCGAUGAAGGACGUGCUAAUCUGCGAAAAGCGUCGGUAAGGUGAUAUGAACCGUUAUACCCGACGAUAUCCGAAUGGGGAAACCCAGUAUCCAAUGGAUACUAUCAUUAACUGAAUCCAUAGGUUAAUGAGGCGAACCGGGAGAACUGAAACAUCUCAGUACCCCGAGGAAAAGAAAUCAACCGAGAUUCCCCUAGUAGCGGCGAGCGAACGGGGAGCAGCCCAGAGUCUUAAUCAAUAGCAGUGUCAGGAGAACGGUCUGGAAAGUCCGGCAGUAAAGGGUGAUAGCCCCGUAUCUGAAGAUGCUGUUAUUGUGAACUCGACGAGUAGGGCGGGACACGUGUUAUCCUGUCUGAAUAUGGGGGGACCAUCCUCCAAGGCUAAAUACUCCUGAUUGACCGAUAGUGAACCAGUACCGUGAGGGAAAGGCGAAAAGAACCCCGGCGAGGGGAGUGAAAAAGAACCUGAAACCGUGUACGUACAAGCAGUAGGAGCCUCUUUAUGGGGUGACUGCGUACCUUUUGUAUAAUGGGUCAGCGACUUAUAUUCUGUAGCGAGGUUAACCGCAUAGGGGAGCCGUAGGGAAACCGAGUCUUAACUGGGCGAAUGAGUUGCAGGGUAUAGACCCGAAACCCGGUGAUCUAUCCAUGGGCAGGUUGAAGGUUGGGUAACACUAACUGGAGGACCGAACCGACUAAUGUUGAAAAAUUAGCGGAUGACUUGUGGAUGGGGGUGAAAGGCCAAUCAAACCGGGAGAUAGCUGGUUCUCCCCGAAAGCUAUUUAGGUAGCGCCUCGUGAACUCAUCUUCGGGGGUAGAGCACUGUUUCGACUAGGGGGUCAUCCCGACUUACCAACUCGAUGCAAACUGCGAAUACCGAAGAAUGUUAUCACGGGAGACACACGGCGGGUGCUAACGUCCGUCGUGAAGAGGGAAACAACCCAGACCGCCAGCUAAGGUCCCAAAGUCAUGGUUAAGUGGGAAACGAAGUGGGAAGGCUCAGACAGCCAGGAUGUUGGCUUAGAAGCAGCCAUCAUUUAAAGAAAGCGUAAUAGCUCACUGGUCGAGUCGGCCCGCGCGGAAGAUGUAACGGGGCUAAACCAUGCACCGAAGCUGCGGCAGCGACACAAAGUGUUGUUGGGUAGGGGAGCGUUCUGUAAGCCUGCGAAGGUGUACUGUGAGGUAUGCUGGAGGUAUCAGAAGUGCGAAUGCUGACAUAAGUAACGAUAAUGCGGGUGAAAAACCCGCACGCCGGAAGACCAAGGGUUCCUGUCCAACGUUAAUCGGGGCAGGGUGAGUCGACCCCUAAGGCGAGGCUGAAAAGCGUAGUCGAUGGGAAACGGGUUAAUAUUCCCGUACUGGUGGUAACUGCGAUGGGGGAACGGAGAAGGCUAGGUUGUCCGGGCGACGGUCGUCCCGGUUCAAGCAGGUAGGCAGAGUGAUUAGGCAAAUCCGGUCACUUAAUGCUGAGAUGUGAUGACGAACCACUAAGGUGGUGAAGCAAUUGAUGCCCCGCUUCCAGGAAAAGCCUCUAAGCUUCAGGUUACCAACAAUCGUACCCCAAACCGACACAGGUGGUCAGGUAGAGAAUACUCAGGCGCUUGAGAGAACUCGGGUGAAGGAACUAGGCAAAAUGGUGCCGUAACUUCGGGAGAAGGCACGCUGGCGGUAGGUAAAGUCCCUCGCGGACGGCGCCCAAGCCAGUCGAAGAUACCAGCUGGCUGCAACUGUUUAUUAAAAACACAGCACUGUGCAAACACGAAAGUGGACGUAUACGGUGUGACGCCUGCCCGGUGCUGGAAGGUUAAUUGAUGGGGUCAGCCGUAAGGCGAAGCUCCUGAUCGAAGCCCCAGUAAACGGCGGCCGUAACUAUAACGGUCCUAAGGUAGCGAAAUUCCUUGUCGGGUAAGUUCCGACCUGCACGAAUGGCGUAAUGAUGGCCAGGCUGUCUCCACCCGAGACUCAGUGAAAUUGAACUCGCUGUGAAGAUGCAGUGUACCCGCGGCAAGACGGAAAGACCCCGUGAACCUUUACUAUAGCUUGACACUGAACAUUGAGCCUUGAUGUGUAGGAUAGGUGGGAGGCUUUGAAGUGUGGACGCCAGUCUGCAUGGAGCCAACCUUGAAAUACCACCCUUUAACGUUUGAUGUUCUAACCUAGGCCCAUAAACUGGGUCGGGGACCGUGUCUGGUGGGUAGUUUGACUGGGGCGGUCUCCUCCUAAAGAGUAACGGAGGAGCACGAAGGUUGGCUAAGCAUGGUCGGACAUCAUGCGGUUAGUGCAAAGGCAUAAGCCAGCUUGACUGCGAGAGUGACGGCUCGAGCAGGUACGAAAGUAGGUCUUAGUGAUCCGGUGGUUCUGAAUGGAAGGGCCAUCGCUCAACGGAUAAAAGGUACUCCGGGGAUAACAGGCUGAUACCGCCCAAGAGUUCAUAUCGACGGCGGUGUUUGGCACCUCGAUGUCGGCUCAUCACAUCCUGGGGCUGAAGUAGGUCCCAAGGGUAUGGCUGUUCGCCAUUUAAAGUGGUACGCGAGCUGGGUUUAGAACGUCGUGAGACAGUUCGGUCCCUAUCUGCCGUGGGCGUUGGAAGAUUGAGAGGGGUUGCUCCUAGUACGAGAGGACCGGAGUGAACGCACCACUGGUGUUCGGGUUGUCAUGCCAAUGGCAUUGCCCGGUAGCUAAGUGCGGAAGAGAUAACCGCUGAAAGCAUCUAAGCGGGAAACUUGCCUCGAGAUGAGUCUUCCCUGUCGCUUUAAGCGACCUAAAGGAACGUUUAAGACUAAGACGUUGAUAGGCUGGGUGUGUAAGCGUAGCGAUACGUUGAGCUAACCAGUACUAAUGAACCGUGAGGCUUAACCUG
rnacentral:rRNA from 1 species